rnacentral:rRNA from 1 species
GUCGAACGGCAGCACGGGGGCAACCCUGGUGGCGAGUGGCGAACGGGUGAGUAAUACAUCGGAACGUGUCCUGUAGUGGGGGAUAGCCCGGCGAAAGCCGGAUUAAUACCGCAUACGAUCUACGGAAGAAAGCGGGGGAUCGCAAGACCUCGCGCUAUGGGGGCGGCCGAUGGCAGAUUAGCUAGUUGGUGGGGUAAAGGCCUACCAAGGCGACGAUCUGUAGCUGGUCUGAGAGGACGACCAGCCACACUGGGACUGAGACACGGCCCAGACUCCUACGGGAGGCAGCAGUGGGGAAUUUUGGACAAUGGGGGAAACCCUGAUCCAGCAAUGCCGCGUGUGUGAAGAAGGCCUUCGGGUUGUAAAGCACUUUUGUCCGGAAAGAAAACAUAUGCACUAAUACUGUGUGUGGAUGACGGUACCGGAAGAAUAAGCACCGGCUAACUACGUGCCAGCAGCCGCG